UGAUCAUCUCUAAGCAUGUUAAGGUGGCUGCUUUCUGUGUGGAAUGUUGGCUCCUGAAAUUACAACAAAAUUUUCCUCAUGUUUCCUUCCUUCUCCUUUUCCUUAAGGAUCACGCUGUCUUUCACAGGAUGUAAAGCCUCCUGAAAUUGCUAUUCUGUCAGUGUUGCCUCUCUUAAUCCUAAAACAUUUCAUCAUGGAAGUACUGUGGAAGUACAUGGAACUCUGGCACAUCUACUAAAUCACAUAGAAAGACCCAGAAUCAGCAGUUACCCUCAAGUAAGUGAUACAAUCUCAUAGCUAAAUUAGUUAUUUUCUUCCUUACCUGCCCUGUAUAUCAUACUAAAAAUAAAGUUUGAAGUCUGAAGCUUCUAGGAAAGGAC
rnacentral:lncRNA from 1 species